CCUGGCGGCAAUAGAGCAUUGGUACCACCUGAUCCCAUCCCGAACUCAGCAGUGAAACGAUGCAUCGCCGAUGGUAGUGCGGCAUUAGCCGUGCGAGAGUAGGUCACUGCCAGGC
rnacentral:rRNA from 1 species